GACGAACCGAGCGAACGUUAUUCGGAAUCACUGGGCUUAAAGGGCGCGUAGGCGGGCCAUCAAGUCAGGGGUGAAAGCCCCCAGCUCAACUGGGGAAGUGCCUUUGAUACUGGUGGUCUCGAGGGGGAUAGGGGCGUGCGGAACUUCCGGUGGAGCGGUGAAAUGCGUAGAUAUCGGAAGGAACACCAGUGGCGAAGGCGGCUACCUGGAUUGAUACUGACACUGAGGCGCGAAAGCGUGGGGAGCAAACAGG
rnacentral:rRNA from 1 species